CCCAGUUUCCGGCUCAUGUAACCCCGAAGUUAGAGACCAAAAAUACUCCUGCGUCCUACCUUUUAGUGAAAACUAAUAGAAACAGAUGGAAGUCUUAAAGGAAACACAAACACGGUAUCGUCAGUUUUAAAGAAAACAAUGUAAUAACUAAUCAGUUGGAGUGAUUACAACGCUCGUUAAGGUCAGUAAACGCACCGUUUUAUAAUUGAACAUGAUGCGAUUUAAGAUCAUUUUUAUGGGGAAAUAUAUCGAGAGAAAAAAAACGCAGAACAUAUUUUACAAAAAUAAAAGGCCCCACAAAGUCCCUGAUGGAUAUCCUGGACCCAUUAAAGGCUCCAGGUAAUAUUCAAAGUACUAAAGGUGCAAUAGUGCAGGCAUUAAACUUAAUGAAUACAGUGCAAACUGGUGUUAAAUCAAAGGUAAGGCUGAGAUGUGUUCAACGAUAUUAUAGCUCAGGGGUCAAACAAUAACCGUCAUUGCUUAAUAAUCAUUUCAAACCUUUGAUUAGUCAUAUUUCAACUUCACAGGCUUGUGAAAGAGUCACAGAUAAGCAGAGCUGAGGUUCUUUCUAUCUGAUGCACACAAUGAUGAGCAGCUUUCACAUGUCAUCUCUCUAUAAAAAACUAAAUGUGUGUGUGUGUGUGUGUGUCUCUGCUGGCCUAAUUCUAGUGCACAGCUCCUGAUAAAUAACUUUUAAAACAAAUCCCUUUUUUUAUUAUUUAGGCUUUUUUUUUAGCCAGAUCAAAAAUAGGCCAGAUGAAAGUAAUAAUACAAAAACUUUAAUUUAUUACAAAAUGAGUCAAUGUAAUUUAUUUCUCUUCAAAGCACACAUGAUGAAAAUUUAAUCGGCAACAUUACGAGCAAAUUGCUCGCAUCCUCCUUGAAUUUUUGGAAAAGAAACUGAACAAAAAACUUGACCGUUUCUGCCGAAACUCAAAAGUCUCCCUGAACAAACCUGAUCGAACGAAACACACGCGCUUCAUCACGUCCAACAACAACAACAACAACUGUGUCAGGUUAAGAAGAAGUUGUUUUGGAGGCCUGUGUCUAUAUCUGUCCUGACCCUAGCAUGCCGAACACAUACCUCACUAAUGAAUUUAGCAUCCUGACACAAGAUGCUUUAUGUAAUUAAUAGAGUGGAGGGGUACGCUGGUGGCAUCUCCGUGCUGCAAGUGACACAUAGGUAAGACAUUCGCUGAAGCAUGGGAUUUUUAUUUUAAAAGAGACCUAGGUGAUUAUUAAAACACACUUGAGGCAGGCCUGUAAAUGGCAUCACAGCAGACUGUGAGCGGUUCAUCUUUGCGUCACUUUCACUUAUUAAAAGGUUAAAACCAUCAUAGAUUAUUUGUAGGCUUGUUCAUAACGGAUCAGUGUCGGGAUAUUCGUUUUUACAAGCCUGCUAUUUCUUAUUACGUCUAUAAAGGAAAGUAGACACUUUGUCAAACAUAUUAAAGCUUUAAUUAAAGUCCUUGAAAAUGAAGGUGAGCUGCUACUGCAAACAAAAGAUAUAUAUUCAACUCUCACAUAUAUUUACGAUCCAGUGAAGAGUAUAGUUGAGUGUUUCUAGUGGUGAUGCACUCAACUAUCAUCACAGAUUCCCCUCCCGUCGCAGCCUACUAAAACACACACACACACACACACACACACACACACACACACACACGUGAUACAUCACAGAAAGCAGAUAAUAAGCACUCUGUCCAAAAGCUCUCCAUAUAUGCUGCAGGAGAGCACGAGCCAGCGCAGCUAUGAGAGCUGAGGGCCUAGUAAGGGAGGCUUGGUGGAAUGAGCCUGGUUUGAAUAAGCAGCAUGGCUACGGGUGAGCUCUGGGAGAGUCACCAAGUGUGCUGAUUAAAGUUGUGAUAUUAAACAGCGCUGGCUGCUCCUGCCUGCCAAGCCUCCCUCUCUCUCUCUCUCUCUCUCUAUUUCAGUGGCAUUUCACAUUGUUUAAAAGGCCCGAUCGGACUCAUCUCGCCACUUGCUGCUCGGUGUUGCUUACAACUUUUCAUUUUUUAUUUUCCACCUCCCGUGUCUCCCUAUUCUCUGUGAGCAGAGUCCUAGAUUUACUUUAAAUAAGCUUUUACUACAUUUCCCAGGUGCUUUUCUGCUCUGGGUCACUGGGUUCGCUCAGUCCUCGACUUGACCGUAGUGCUGAGUGCAUGUGUGUGUGUGUGUAAUUGUGAGCAUCAUAUAGAAAACUCUGCUGAAAAAAAAAAAAAAAAAAAAAAGCUCCACAUUGUGUUUACCUCUUCUGUGAAAGCUGAACUCCUAACGAACACACGGAGCGCUCCUUCUCGGAAACACUGCUCUGAACUCAUUCAACCCCUUUUAAAAGCGUCACUGCGAAACCCAAUAAAACUCUGCCAUUAUAAAUAUACAAUUCAUAAAUACUGGAAAGCAGGCGCGCUUUCUGUGAAAUAUAUGGCCCGAGCCCUUUUGAAAAGGUCACACUUUAAAAGACGCUGUGGUCACUCUGACUUGUUGGAUUGCUUAAGCUGCUACUGAACAGAUACCAAAAGUUAUUGCACCAAAAUCGCAACUCAGGGAGCCAGCGAGUGUUGUAGUUUGAUCUCAAAAGUCUGGAAUGGGACGUACGAAGAUUAAGCUAGUGAGGGAGGGAGGGAGAGAGAGAAAGAAAAGGCAGCAAGAAAAGUGAGGGACUUUUAGGGGCAGCUGUGUUUUAUUAACCCAGUCAUAAUGCCCCUAAAAAUCCUUAUUGCUCUUGCAAUGGUCAACAAAUCUCCUGUUACAACAUGAAGAGGAUUUCAGAGUGGGCUUUAGGGAUUCUUAUCAAAAACCUGUUGCACUUAACAGCUCACUGAAAAAUGUACGCUCUGGUUGAUAGGCUUCAUCUAGAGAGUUUAGCAUGAAUGGAAGUAUGCAAUCUAGUAAGAGUUACUGAAGUCGAACAGUAACCUUUGUCAAAAGUUUCUCAACACGUUUGCUGAUGCAGAUUAGCUCAAAGUUGUACUGAGUUAGCUGAAACAGAACAAUGCCAAUGUUUCCCUUCGGGGAACUUAUCAAACAUGCUUCUCUGAAUAUCUGCCCAAGUCUUCAGAGUUUAAAAUGCAGACGAGGGAGUCGAGGCUCCGUGUCCUUUGGUGUUUUGACUUUGCAACCGAGUGCCAAGGGACGGAUUGUGAGACACAGACAGAGAAAAAAAAAGAAGGUCGGCAGGUAGACUGAUAAAUAAGACAGGCUGACGGCAGACGAAAAAAAAUAAAAAUCAGAGUGGCUGGUAGAAAUACAGGCAGGCAGAUGGGAGCGUAAGACAGGUAAAUAAUGAGACAUCCUGACAAGACAGCAGCCGUUCAGCCAGAUAUAGAAAAUGGCAACCAGGCGGGGAGGAGGAGACAGACAUAGGAAGGAAAAAGAGACAGGUUAAUACAGACUUGAUAGAAAGAGAGGCAUGGAAGAAAGCAGGCCGUGGAGGGCUGCGAUCCAGGCCUGGGUGUGGUGAGGUGGGCUGUCCUGGCUAAAGGGCGGGUGGUGUCUAGAGGAGCUCUCAGUGUUGGUGAGUGAGUCAUCAGAAGGAGGCUAUUCUGUCGACUCUCCCGGUGGGACGGGUCCUUCUGCUGAAGGAAGCAAGGAAGAUUCCUAUUCAUGUCAAGGGACAGAGAGGGAGAGAGAUAGACAAGGGGAGAGGGAAAGUGUGGACGAUGACUCAGGGCCACGAACCACAUGGUGACGGAGGAGGGAGGGAGAAAUUACUCAUCAGAGCAUGUGGAAUCUCAUACGGCUAUCACAGGACUGACAGCGUGCUUCCCCCAUGGCUGUUGCUCAGCCGCCAUGCAGCCGCCAUGACUCCCUCAGGCUCCAACCGAACACUGAUCAGCCUCGCUUUUCACCGAACGAGAACAGAGCGAAGGUGGGGAUCAGGGUGAGCCAGGGGUCAAAUUCACACAGGAAGGUUUUUCUUUUUAAUAAAAUGAUUUUUAUCAGAGCCGGGUCCCUGCCAGUCAGGGCACCUUGGGGCGUCACGAGGCACUAAACUGAGAGAAUAUUUGUGCUUUUAUCAGAGCUGAAUCCAAUCAAAAAGUGCACAGUCACUUGACAUUUUUUCCCCCAAAUAUUGUAGACUUCAGUCGCCUGGCUGUCUGCAGCUUCUGUGGAACAAUUGCAUGCUAAUAAAUGUUGCACCAUUUUCUGACAAGGAAGUUUGAAUACAAACAAAAAGGGCUGGAUAACCCUCCAGAUUAGCAUGUUUUCAUCUUUGAGCUUCAAGUGUCUGUGCUGGCUGUGAGAAAUAUACAUCAAAUCAUAGCGCUACUGUAGUGUAAAGAAACACCCGAGCCGGGGAAGCCAGACUGGUUCAAGUCCUGGUUUUAUUAAGAAUGUGAACUACAAUGGAGUGUAAAUAUUGAGGUAUUUUGAAACAGGAGUUUCUUCUCAAGCCUCUGUCUGCUUAUAUUUGAGUUUUAAAUCACAAUAAGUCGGCACAGGUCUCUCUGCUCUCGCUCCAAAUUCAGCAAUCCUGACAAAAUAUUUUACAAGGGGAACCUUUUCAAAAGGAGAAGCUUUAAAAAUAUGCAUCCACUGUACAUGGUGAACAGAGGGUGACAUUUGAAGUCCAGUAGCUUCUAUUCUCCUCUGACACUCAGCUUACAAAACAGCUCUUUCAUGGCUCAUGAUAAAUGUGCCACUACAGUCAGCUCCUGGAUGACAAAGUUGUAUUGAGUGAUGACAAGACAGAGAAUAGAAACGGGUGAAAGGUCUACCGAUGCGACAUGCUCCAUAGCUUCUCUUUAUCUUCUUGAGACUCAGCUGCAAUGAACCUGCACAUGUCCUGGUAUACGAGUGGCGUUGUUAGGUGUUAACACACGAUGGUGAACUCAUUCCCCCUGGUCUACUUUAUAUGUGUGUAAUGGUCCUAUUAACUGGUGGCUUAAUUCGUAGGGAGCAACCUUAAAUAUAAGUUUAAGCAGACAAAAAGGAUGAUGAGUCUACCAUGGUGGCAUGACUCAACAGGUGAAAGGACCACGCCCAAAGGGGCCCCCCCGCUUACCAGUGGCGGCACAGUCCCAGAUCUCUCUGUAACCGAGGUUGCCAUCAGGGUGUGGGCUGACGCUGCUCCAACACCCGAAGAACCACUCAAAUCCAGAGCAAACACUGCACACAAAAGCGAGAGGGCAAGAAAAACUGGAGCAGACCUUCCCUGUGUGGAUCCAUCUCGUUUGAAAGAGCGAAUGAACCCUCCUGACCUGCUUUUAGCCAAUCAGCCUGUCAGACAAGGCUUUGGUGUGACAAGAGUCAACAGACAGGAGGGUGAUUAGGCGUAAUACUUUAAGCUAAAUUAAUGUGAUGCUGUGGUGGAUCCUCAGCCUGGAGCUUGUUGCACCAGGUAUUUUUAAGUUCAGGUUUAGUAUAUUCAUUGAGAGUAUGCUAAUGGAGAGCUUCUGUAUGUAUAACUUUAUUAGAGAGUAGUUACUUAAUAUUGACACCCAAUAACUGCCAGGUGUAGGGCUUGCAUAGCUAACUGAUAUAACUAAUAAAGCUAACAUUAGCCUGCUAAUAGGGGACAUGGUUAAAUUAAUUAUGACCAGAUUGUUGAUAAAUCAUCUGAAGAUUUACAGUAUUGUAAGUAACACAACAUAAAAAAAAACAGCUGUUCUGUUUAGUUAGUUAACUAAAUGUGUGGACUUAAGGUGCAUCCCAAGUCUCUUAGGUUGCAUCCAUGCAUCCUUCACUUGCUUCUUAGUCCCUCUCACCAGAGAUGCACGAGGAAAGGAAGCGAAGGAGAGAGGGGGAACAAGGUAACAUGAUUUCAAGAGACACGAGACGACCUUUUUCCUCCGUAGCGUCAGGGGAAGCGACGUCCGUUUGUGACGAUGACAUCAGCCGAUCACCGCUCAGCCGUCGGUCGGCUUUAACAGCCGUUCGUGUCUGUGUUAACUAUUUGUUAUUUUAUGAUUCAUUUAAAAAUAAUAAUUAUUUGAUUAGUAUUUACUAAUUUACUGUCCCUAAAAUUAUUUAUUAGGUUUUAAAUUUCAGGAAAAUAUUAAAAACAGAAAACAAUUCUCAAACCCAAUACUUAUUAAUGAUCGGCCUUAUGUGAACUUUAUGGACAGGACGAUGAAUGUAAGAAGUGUUUCUUAGUGACAGGCUCCGACUCGCUCAGAUUUAUAUUCUCUUCAUAAUAAAAUUAAAAAGGGCAAACGACCGACCACAAAGAGAGAAUAUUUAUACUUCUCUUUUACUGUUAAUAAACUCUAGUGUUGUGAAGUUUGAUUCACUGCAGCGUCCAAUCAAUGAUUGAUAUCCAAUAAGGGGGCGUGUCUUAAAGUAAAAAGACUUGCUCUCGUGAAUCCUCUCAUCGCCCCUUACAUUUCCCUCCUCUCCUAUCUCCUCCGAGCAGCUUCAGCUUCAUUUAAGAGACUUGAGAUGCGCCUUUACACAGCCCGCUUAGCAAAGGCAGCUGGUUAGCAGCGCAGCAGCUCCAGUGCUUUUUCAUAGCUCGUGUAAUAGCUUGAUAGAUUAGAAUGUAAUUGUUCUGUCGAGAAUCGAGAAACGUCCCUCCUUUGUCAACAUCUUAAAUCAAUCUUCAAAUAGGUUGGCAUAGUCCGACUUCCCCCACUUGUUUUAAAAUGCAUGAACACUCCAAACUCCAAAACAAACACAGUUCUUCACGAUUAAACAAAACAAAUAAACUCAAAUAAAGACAGUUUAAACAGCCUUGUCCAUCUUACUGCUACGUACUAUCGUUAAGUUUGAAGGAUUAAAUCAAGACUGUGUUGACCACUGCAGUAAAUUUAGGCAAUAGGUGACCUUAUGAUUCUAGAGAGGAUCAGUUAGGAAGUGUGUCACUGUUUCUAACAUAUGUAUCAAAAUGAGGUCUUUGGACUCAAGGGUCAGAACUGUGUACACACACAUGUAUACUCAGUCACACACUCAUACAGAUAUUUAACUCUUAAACUUCCCACCUCUCCUUUACACACUGUUUGCUUUUUUAUAAGGAAUGUCAAACUGGAUUCAGCUUUCCUGCACUGCCUGGCUGCAUUCAGUUCAGUCGGCAGCUGGGUCUCAUCUUCCACUGUUUGCCUUUGUGAUUAUCUUUGAAUAUACAUAAGCAGAGAGCCGUUUCAUACAACGCUGCCAUGUUGAUGUUUGUUUUCUGUGAAAUAAUUUGCUAUAGUGUGAGGAGAAAUGCAGAGAGGUGCCCUUGCUUGAGUUCAGCCUAAAUAUUUGAAAAGUCACUCCUCCUUUCUUCUCCGCCAUCCUUUGCCAAACACAGACAGGGGGGGGGGUCAGUUUCCAGUUGUUUUCUGGCUGUUUGGGGUCAACGAUGCAUGCUGGCAGACCUCACAGGCACUUUCUCUUUGCAAUGCAUUGCAAAAUGUGUUGCAGGCUGAACUCGACUCAGCGUUUGUGUGCCCCAGUGUUGAGUAACAAUGAGCUCCGCAGGGCGAUUGGCACAUGUCUGUUUGAUGCUGCAGAUACAGUCAUGCCAUUGUGUGGAGUCAGCAAGUGAAAUGUGUGUGUGUGUGUGUUCAUGUGUGUGUGUGUGAGGAAAACUGGGUGUUUGUUUUGGCAGAAAGACCAUUUGCCAAAGAAGGGAUGCCACUGCCAAAACAUCCCCAAAGAACCUCGGUGGAGAGUGUUUUAUCUGCCAAACCUCUCCAGCAGUAAUAUAAUGGAAAAGGUGGCCAUUUUACUCCCAACACCCACCUCUUCACAGCUCUUUUGUGAGCGAGGAGAGCUAAUGGUGGGCUGUGGUAGGCCUUUUUUUAGUGCAGUGUUUGAAAAUGAAAGGACUGCAAUGUAGGUUAGCUGCUGUUCCUCCAAUGUUCUUCAACAAUCGUAGUUGACAAGAGGAUGAAGAGCAUUUUCGGCUCUUCAAGGCCAUGGCACUGCCUCAUGUUAGCGCUGAUCAUUUGGUCUAUACUACUGCAGCUCACAUUAGGUCCCAUUGUCCGGCCUGAGCCAACAUCCUCCACUCCAGAGGGCCUGUGUGCCAUAACCACAGAGCUCAGCUUGGCUCUGUGGUUAUUUAAAAAAAAAAAAAGGAAAAGCCCUCUUCCCAAAAAACCUUCUUCCAUUACAGAAAAGAGGUUUUCCGCUUCUAUCAAAGCUGUCAAUGGAAGCUAUUCAAGCCACUUGGAAAACAUCAAUUGCUGCUUUAUUUUGCUCUUCAUGUUGGGCAAAUCAUCAGUAAUUGGGACAGCGUGAUCCCUUCAUAGUUGGUUUUCAGAAGAAAAGGGAGAUUGUGUUGUCUAUGCACGAGUCUUCACACCCAUGAUGAUCUUAAGUGUUGUAUUCACGCAUUGUUGAUCUGCAGAGCAUGUGUUCAGCUGGCAGUUCUGUGAAAUACCCUCAUCUGUGCUGCUUUUUUCUAACCGUAAACCCAAGCAGCUGAUGUGAACAUGAAUAAACUGCUCGCGUGAUGAGCUUACCUUGCCAUGUGCUGAAAUGAAGCGUUGUUUUAUGUUGGCACUGGGGCCGAUAGGAGCCGCAUUGUGACAGGCAGCCCCCGAGGCGACUUGCAGCUCAGCAAUGUGCCUUCUUGGACCUUCCCUCUCAUUCCUGGGCAUCAGAACAGUUGCACAGCACCCGUCUGACUCCAAAACCAACAGUUUUAGAAAUGUCUUUACUUCUGACUAUUACUACUUUACUUCAAACUAUUCAGAUGCACUUUCAUGUGACUCUCUUUUGGGUUGACAGAGUUUUAUUUCUCUUCCUUAAUGCCUCUUGUGUUUCUUUGUUUUACUUGGCUCUUUUUGACUUGACUCAUCUCCCUGGCAUGUGGGAUGGGUUAUUUUGGGCAGUGUGGAUGUGUGAAUGUAAGCAAUAUGCAUACAGUAGGACUACAUGCAUGAAAGGUGUGCGUAUAUUUGAUGUCAGAUUGAUGGUGACAAAUUCCCCUUGACAAGUCAUAUCACUACUGUUGCAGUGACUACUUUCCAAAAGAUGCUUUUUCUGUAACACAUCCUGGUCGUUAUCAACUUAUCAACAAGACUUUUUUGGGGAAUACUCUUAUUCAUUAUCUUACACUGAGUUAGUUUAGAACACCUGUCCCACUCUUAUGUCUACACAGUAAAUAUAGAGUAACCUGAAGCUGCCCCUUAGCUUAGCUUAGCAUAAAGAAGGCAACCUUCAUGCUAGUCUGAGCAUGAGCCAAUGUUUAACUAAAGUCCAUGCUAAAGGGCCAUUUCUUAGGUCUCUUAGGUCUCACUUGUCAAGAUAGGAAUCUAAAAAAAAGAGCAUUUUAAUCUAAUAAGUUUAUUGUAAUGAAUACAUUUUGGCAAUUUAAAAAAAUAUACAACAUUCAGUUUCUCCCAUUGGCUGAAUGAACCCUGGAUGAUGUCACCAAUUUGUUACUGAACAGGGCUUUGGAAGCCCGCCGAUGGCGGUUGCUAUGCUGGACAUGCUGUCUCAACCUAACUUUCAGUCAACUUAUUGACAGAAAGAGCUGGAAAUGAAACAGUUCUCAAACCUCCUGACAAACGAACAGCACUUAUCCUUCAUAACCUCAAAACAGAUGAUUUAUUAAAAAAAAAAACACCCUCCCUCAAUGUGUGUCGAGCCAGCCUUAAGCGAACACUCAAGUUACUGCAGGUUUUUGCACUUCCCCGUUAGCUUUAUUUUUCAACACUGGAGUUUGCCGCUUGUGGCAGGAAACGUGGAGAGAGAAAUUGGGGGAUGACAAGGCCAGGAGUCAAACCUUCACCAGGGGGCUGAAUUUCUUUUAAUAACUCAUCAAUUUAGAUUUUUUUGAAGGAUAAGAGUUGUACCUAAUUAGGGGCGUGACUGGUUUGACUGCAAGCGGGAACACUGUAGCUAAAUGUCACGAGGGCUUAAGGCCCGCCUCAGCUGCACUUGGUUGGUUACUUGGUUGAGAUGGCUUUUUCAAUAUGGCGACCGACAUUGACAGGCUUCAAAGUGCACUACAGAAAACCAAUGGAUGAUGUCACUGAGACAACAUCCAUGUGUUAUAGACUGUGGUCUAGACAGGGCCAUUUUUAGAUGGCCCUUUUCAAAAUUAAGAGCUAGCAGGACCCUUAACUGUAGCCAAAAGCUGCCUGUGUGCAAGAUUGUGUUAUCCCUGUAUGGCUUCUUCUACAGCAUUAGUAAUAUCACCUUUAUUCACUUUAAUUAAAUUAAAUCUUUUUUUGUAAAUGUUUAUCAAUCUAAAAAAAAAAAAAGAAGAGGGGCCUGAUUGGUCUAAGGUAACAAAAUCUGCCAACCAGCACCUCCUAAGCUCCCUGAUUGACACUUUUUUAAUUAGUUUAAAGCAAACUUUCACCUUCAAGUGUUUCUCUGUUCACUGUGUGAUCUCUCCUUUCAGACGGUCGGCUGAUAUUUCAGACCGUCUGUGUUCAUUGUCAAAUAGCCUCUGGCUUUAUAAAGUGAGGGGUGAAUGAAGACGUCUCAAGGUAACAUCGAAGAAGCCACAGAGGAGAAAGGAGCUCAAAUUGAAUGCAACAACAAAGCCCUUAAACUGUCUGCAGAGUCCUGGAAACAGCUACAGGUGUUUCAUAAAUUUAUGUAUUAUCAAAAACAUACAAACAUUGAUCACAACCGCCAAGCUGUGUUUGAGGAUGGGGUUUGGGUCAGAGGGGGGUUACGUUUGGAGGUAAGAUUACAUUAACUCCCCCAUUACAUGUUAACCAGCAAUAAAAAUAAUAAUACAGAAUGCUUUGAUAGCACAGUCUGUAUAUAAAAGAUAUUAAAGAAUCUCAGUGAUGCAUUAUUACUUGUAUUAUUAGAAACUUAUUCUUGUAUCCAAUAAACUGUCCUCCAGGAAUAUCUAACACAAGUCCAACCAUUCUUUUGUCUGAGUCUUGCAGCUCUGUCUGAAGAGAUUCACCAGUGACUGCAUUGUCUCACCUAAAACAAUCCAAUUCACAACCACCAAUACACGAUCAGGUCACAUUAAAUCAAACCUCAAACUCAAUUUUCAAACUGUUAAUGCAGAGAGGAUUAUCAGUUCUCCUGGAGUUGGCUGCUCACGACCUGCAUACUUUGAGACUAUGCAUCACACUCAACAAGCCCCACAACUGUAAUGUAAGCAAGCCGUUUGUAAUGUUAUACCCAAACUUUCACAUCGACUGAAACUAACCUCCUGAUUGAUGGAGCUUGUUGGCUCUACACCUGAUUUAAUUUGAGCGCAGAACGCUCUUGUGGUAUUUAUAUUUAACAUCACUGAACACAGAAAGUGUCAAACUACAAGAGGUGACGCCAAAAAAAAAACAAAAACUAGACAAUGUUUUGGGGGGAGCUAUGUGCCGUCCCAGAGGUUGCGUCAGAUGUCUUCCACUAUGACACAGUGUGGAAAAAACAAGUUAUUGUUGUGUUUGAAGCUCAUUUCCAUUCUUGACACCAUACAUCUGUCAGGUUUAAUGCUGUGUCCUAAAGUCUGAUUCUGACAGCUCAACACCCUGACGCCAUUUAAACUGAACAUAAUAAGGUUAUCAGAACGUUUGAUAAUUGGAUACAAAACUAACACAAUUUCUAUUCUUUACCGUUCCAUAGUAUGGAAGAGUUCAAAGGAUUAAAAGUACCCUACAAAUCUUCAGUUACAUUUCAACCCAAGGCUGCUGGGAUUCAAAGAGAGAGAAACUAUCUAAGCUGCGUAAAUACAUUGGCAACAUUUGGUUGCAGAAACAUUGGCAAUGUAUGAUGGGUAUUGACGGUAGUUAUAAACAAGACAUUUCCCAACAUUGGGAUCCUAGGACAUCUAUUUUUGUUGCCAUGGUAUCGAAAUAAGUCUCAAUAUCAUUCCAAUCAGUUCUACUAGCGUUAAAAUUCUGGUAUUGUGAAAAUCCUUGCUAAGUAACAUAACAAGGACUUAUUUGGGUCAACUCGAGCUAGACGCUGCAACACUUCUGCAUACUUAUAUCCUCUGUGUCAUUUUGGGAGUCAUUUCAACUUUCAACCUGAUCCACCCUCAGUUGUGAAAACCUGUUGGGAGCUGUGUUGAAACUCUGGCUAGACUCAACCCAAUUUUUUUUUUUUUUUUUUACUGAUGUAAGCUUGUAACCAGCAUGCUAACUGUCUCGUUCUUUGUUUGAUCUGCCUGGCUCGGACUCAGAGGGAUGUGCUGUGUUGUGUUUCAGGCAACAAGAUCAUUAAGUGGUCACAGUCCAAAUGUCCUGGAAGUGCACUAUAUUAAUACGACGCUUCUCUACUUCACAGCUUCUUUGUUUUUGUUCUUCUUCCUGGCAACCAUCACACAGAAAGCUUUGGAGUAUGUGUGAAUAAAGGAGACAUGCAUGCUUAAUGAGCAGAAGUAAAAACAGCUUCAGUCUUUGUUUAUUCCUCACAGUAGCGCUGCCUAGUGAACUGAAUGUCAAGGCAGUGGAAUAACUGAAUUAAGUUGUCUGUUAAAAUGAAGGAACGAACACGGACGUUUGUUAUUGUGUCAGCCAGAUCGUAUCUGUUUAAUUUCAUACUUUCUAAUUUUUUUUUAAAAGUCUGAAACAUCUGCACCCAAACAUUUCACAUUUCCCCCUCCUGAACUCACCUGCCACACAGAUUAACAUCUGACUACAGCUUGCCAGAAGCAUAGGAGUCCAUGUGAGAUGUGGACAGUCACCUCUUGUAACAUGUGCAGUGUCAGAGAGUCAACGAGAAAAGUAAUACAAGAAGCAAAGAACAGCCCUCUGCUCUCAGAUUUACAACCGUGGGGUCAGCAGUGGAGCUGGAGCAGAGUGGUGCAGAGCUCUCCUCUUCCUCCCUCCUGGCCUCCUUCGCCUUCCCUGCUCCCACCCAAUUUUUUUUUUUCUUUUUUUUUGGUGCUCUCUUGUUACUGUAUAUGGGUCAUACUCGCGAUUGAAUGUACAUGCUGGUAAAUAUGUUCUCUGUUCCCAGGGAGUGUGUGGAAAUAAGUGCUCAAACCUUUACCUUUAAGUGAAAUGAGUAACACAGCGGAUCAAUGCUGCAUUUAAAGUAAAGGUCAGGCUUUUUAACUGAGCGUAUAUGCAACGUACUGUACAUUCAUCUUAGACUUUUGUGUCACUCUUCAAGUUUCAAACUUUUUCCUGAUCUUUUAGCCCGUCUGUUAAACAGUUUUGAUGUCGUUGAACUCAAACAGGGGAUCAUAUUUGAUGAGCUUGUUUUAUGUAUUAACCUGUAAAAAAUGUUCUUCCUCAAACUUCAGACUUGUGCUGUCAUAACAUUUUCUUUUGUAUAAAACUGUCUAGGAACCUGGGAAAGUGUACUUUGUCACGCUCCACUUCUGCUCCUUUCACAUUUGUUAUCUGUGUGUACUGUAUAUGUGUGUGUGUGUGUGUGUGUGUGUGUCAAUGCUCGAGUAGCCUAAGUCUUAUGUAAUCAUUUACAGUAUAGAAUCUAUACAGUGCACUUUGUCUCAGGGUUUGUUCCUCGCCCUGCAGUCCCUCCCUGCAGUUAAUUUUGUUAAAUAGGGAAAAUGGAAGAGUAAUUAUGGCAUCGUUGCCACAACAAACUUAAUCACAGUGCGAGGUAAUAUUUACUGGUAUGUGAUAUCACUCUGCUAAAAAUAAACUGUGAAAGCAAGACAACUUCUGCCUUUUUUUAAUUUUUUUAAUUUUUUUUAAAGAAGCUGCAAAAGGAAACAUGUUGGGUUUUCCAGUCACUGAACAUCUUUCUGCAUGUUGAGUUAAGUGUGUGUGUGUUUGUGUUGCCACUAGUUUACCUGCGCUGCACCCCCUCCUCCCCCUCCUCCCCCUCACACACACACUCCCUGUGAGAAGUCACCACAAUCUCAGGCCGAGCAGGAAGGCAGGAUGUUUUUGAUGAAGCAGUGGGCUUAAUUUAGGUCCAAGCAUUCUCAGUAUCUGUCACCCAACUCCCAACAUUUGCAACCGACAGCGCGGGAGGCAUGUGUGAGUUGGUGCUCAUGUUUAUCCAGGCAGGCAGGUUAUAAAUUCAAGAAAUGUACACCAACACUUAGCCAUGCUAAAAAGACAAGAAUACCUGCACUAUGUUAAGACUCGCCCGUCCUCUUUUUUACCCUCUAAAUAAAAGAAAACAUGCUGAUUUUCAACAGUCUAUUGUGUGGUAUUUUGUCUCUUUUGAGAGUAUUUUAUACUAAAAAUCCCAUUAACCCUGCCAAACACAAAAUCUUGACUUCUUAUUCUUAAGGAAUUGGCUCGGUUUUAGCUCCUCUUGGCCAUAAAAUAACCAAACAGGCGUUUGCAAUGCCAACAACCUCUGCCAGAGACUUCUGCUUGCACCCACUGUUCUCUCACUGGUACAUAGAGACGUUUAAAUGCUUUCUCCUUUCAAUUACAGCAUUUUAACGCCUGUGUGAAAAAUGUUUUUAUUAAUAAGAAUGAGCAAAGUAUGUCGUAAUUUAGCUCCAAAAAUGUCCAAGGUAAUUGCACGAGCUUCGCCCUCUCUCUCAGUCUGCAGUUUAAUGUUUGAUGAACACAUGCACACUUUGAAAUGGGCAAUGUGGUUCUUUAAAAAAAAAAAAAAACAACUAAAAACCCGUAAGGGAAUCUGGUGCCGCUCUGACCUCGGAGCUCAUCGCCAUUCGAGUGUUGCAUUAAAAUGAACGUGCUCCGACUUGUGAAGUGACUGCACCGGGGCGCUGAGAGGGGAGGCGUGUGGUCGUCAUGCAUCCGUAACGAGUGGAAAGAAAGGAAGACCACACAGCAGCACGGUCAGAUCAGGUUGUCAGAGACCAUAUUUAAAAAUCUGGGUCGGACUCCAAAACCAUAACCUCUCUCUCUCUCUCUCACUGUGGCUCUCCAUUCCCUCCUCUGCACCCCAUUUCUCCUUCAUCUCUUCCCACUCCUUGUCUCCUCUUCUUCCUCACACAGCUUUAUCUCCUCCUCACACACUUAACAUACCCACACAUCUUCAUUUCAUUCACUCCUUCUCCUCUUUCUGUUUCUUGCCCAGAAUGCCCAGCGUGCUGUCCACUAAGGAAGCAGCUUUGUGUUUUCUUUUGGGGAUACAAAAUUUGGAUUAAGAUUAUUUUAACCUUUAAUAAUCGUACGAUCUAAAAAUGUAAUUUCAAAUCUUAAUUAAUGUAAAUACAAGGGCAGAUUUUAAACUAUUUUGCUCUUCUCCCAUGAGGAAUUAAAAAAAUGUGAAGCUUGUGAGGAACAGUUCUACAAUUCAUUUAGCAGACGCUUUUAUUCAAAGCUAGGAGCAGCCAUGUGCUUCAUAUGAAGGUGCGAAGGCAGCCAGAUGAGUCGUAAGUGUUACAUCAAAGCGUUUCCAAUGAAAUGACAAUGAGAAUGAAAACCUUCACAGCUGUGGCUGCAGAAAUUCGACACAUCAUGACUUAAACUUCAGGUACCUCUAAUACAUGGUACACAAGGAAAGAAAAAAGAAAA